AUGGCGGAGCUGACGGUGGAGGUUCGUGGCUCCAACGGGGCUUUUUAUAAGGGAUUUAUCAAAGACAUUCAUGAAGACUCCCUCACAGUUGUUUUUGAAAAUAAUUGGCAACCAGAACGCCAGGUUCCAUUUAAUGAAGUUAGAUUACCACCACCACCUGAUAUUAAAAAAGAAAUUAGUGAAGGAGAUGAAGUAGAGGUAUAUUCAAGAGCAAAUGACCAAGAACCAUGUGGAUGGUGGUUGGCUAAAGUGCGGAUGAUGAAAGGAGAAUUUUAUGUCACUGAAUAUGCUGCUUGUGAUGCCACUUACAAUGAAAUAGUCCCAUUUGAACGACUUUGGCCUGUCAAUCAAAAUAAAACUGUCAAAAAAAAUACCUUCUUUAAAUGCACAGUGGAUGUUCCUGAGGAUUUGAGAGAGGCAUGUGCUAAUGAAAAUGCACAUAAAGACUUCAAGAAAGCAAUGGGAGCCUGCAGAAUAUUUUACCACCCAGAAACCACACAGCUAAUGAUACUGUCUGCUAGUGAAGCAACUGUGAAGAGAGUAAAUAUUUUAAGUGACAUGCAUUUGCGAAGUAUUCGUACGAAGUUGAUGCUUAUGUCCAGAAAUGAAGAGGCUACUAAACAUUUAGAAUGCACAAAACAACUUGCAGCUGCUUUUCAUGAAGAAUUUGUUGUGAGAGAAGACUUAAUGGGCUUGGCAAUAGGAACACAUGGUAGUAAUAUACAACAAGCUAGGAAGGUUCCUGGAGUUACCGCUAUUGAGCUAGAUGAAGAUACUGGAACUUUUAGAAUCUAUGGAGAGAGUGCUGAUGCUGUAAAAAAGGCUAGAGGUUUCUUGGAAUUUGUGGAGGAUUUUAUUCAGGUUCCUAGGAAUCUUGUUGGUAAAGUGAUUGGAAAAAAUGGCAAAGUUAUUCAAGAAAUAGUGGACAAAUCAGGUGUUGUUCGGGAGAGAAUUGAAGGAGACAAUGAAAAUAAGCUACCUAGAGAAGAUGGGAUGGUUCCAUUUGUAUUUGUUGGCACUAAAGAAAGCAUUGGAAAUGUACAAGUUCUUUUAGAAUAUCAUAUUGCUUAUCUAAAGGAAGUGGAACAACUAAGAAUGGAACGCCUGCAGAUUGAUGAACAGCUACGACAGAUUGGUUCUAGGUCUUAUAGUGGAAGAGGCAGAGGUCGUCAGGGCCCUAAUUACACCUCCGGUUAUGGUACAAAUUCUGAGCUGUCUAACCCCUCUGAAACCGAAUCUGAACGUAAAGAUGAGCUGAGUGAUUGGUCAUUGGCAGGAGAAGAUGAUCGAGAGAGCCGGCAUCAACGUGACAGCAGGAGACGCCCAGGAGAAAGAGGCAGAAGUGUUUCAGGGGGUCGAGGUCGAGGUGGACCACGUGGUGGCAAAUCUUCCAUCAGUUCUGUGCUCAAAGAUCCAGACAGCAAUCCAUACAGCUUACUUGAUAAUACAGAAUCAGAUCAGACUGCAGACACUGAUGCCAGCGAAUCCCAUCACAGUACUAACCGUCGUAGGCGGUCUCGUAGACGAAGGACUGAUGAAGAUGCUGUUCUGAUGGAUGGAAUGACGGAAUCUGAUACAGCUUCAGUUAAUGAAAAUGGGCUAGGAAAUAAUAAGAGCAAAUACUGGACACAGUGCUCCAUCCCUAUAACCCCAGCUACUCGAAUGGCUGAGGCAAAAUCACAAGUCUGGAGCAAGCCCGGGUAA